rnacentral:rRNA from 1 species
AUACGGAGGGUCCAAGCGUUAUCGGGAAUCAUUGGGUUUAAAGGGUCCGCAGGCGGUCAAUUAAGUCAGAGGUGAAAGCCCAUCGCUCAACGAUGGAACAGCCUUUGAUACUGGUUGACUUGAGUUAUACGGAAGUAGAUAGAAUAAGUAGUGUAGCGGUGAAAUGCAUAGAUAUUACUUAGAAUACCGAUUGCGAAGGCAGUCUACUACGUAUAUACUGACGCUGAGGGACGAAAGCGUGGGGAGCGAACAGGAUUAGAUACCCUAGUAGUCC